GACGAACGCUGGCGGCGUGCUUAACACAUGCAAGUCGAACGGAAAGGCCCUGCUUUUGUGGGGUGCUCGAGUGGCGAACGGGUGAGUAACACGUGAGUAACCUGCCCUUGACUUUGGGAUAACUUCAGGAAACUGGGGCUAAUACCGGAUAGGAGCUCCUGCUGCAUGGUGGGGGUUGGAAAGUUUCGGCGGUUGGGGAUGGACUCGCGGCUUAUCAGCUUGUUGGUGGGGUAGUGGCUUACCAAGGCUUUGACGGGUAGCCGGCCUGAGAGGGUGACCGGCCUCAUUGGUACUGAGGUACGGACCAGUGUCAUACGGUGGACAGCAGGGGGAAGUAUGGCCCAGUGGGACGAAGCCUGAUGAAGCAGCGCCGGGUGCGGGAUGCCGGCCUGCGGGUUGUAAACCGCUUUCGCCUGUGACGAAGCGGGAGUGACGGUAAUGAGUGAAGAAGCACCGGCUAACUACGUG
rnacentral:rRNA from 1 species